rnacentral:lncRNA from 1 species
AUGUCGUGCGGUGAGGAGAUGAUGGUACAGUAGCAGCGCAGAGGUGGUUGAGCAAUAGUUGUGGCGUCCCACCGAAGCCCUUGACGACAGCUAUUCUAGCGUUGGAGAUGGAUUGCGCGAGGAACAGGGUUGUGCUUGUGCCGCCGUUGAUCAUUGUCAACGAAGAACAUCAGCCCAUCCUUCUGCCUUCGUUGAUCGUUGCCGACGGCGGAGAUCAGCCUGUCCUUGUGCCGCCGUUGAUCGUUGCCUAGGAACUCCUUCAGUUGCCACCGUUGAUGGCCGUGGUGAGGCGCGUGUGAGGUGAGGAGUGGUGAGGUGUUUGACGUGUGUGAG